GAAUCAACACCGUGUGUAGGGGUUGCUGACAGCUUGCCCACAGAUCAGCCCGAAACUACUGGAGAUAAAGCGUCUAUUUUACAACCCUGGACAGAGACAGCAGAGGAGGGCUUAUUUUCUGCAAGUGAUAGAGUAGUAAGUCCCAGUCCAGGGAUAAUCAACACAACUCCUCUUACCAAUGAAAACACCCCACAAGAGCAUGCUGGAGAGAGAGAUAGAGGGAAGCUUUGUGAACAGGAAACAUCUGUGAGUUCAGCCAGAGAGGAAACCAUGAAAACCAUCAGGCUUAUGGAACUUUUCAGAAUAACAGGUGAGCCUCUGUUGAAACGAAACCGAGGGAAGCACACACCUGAAGUGUCCAUCAAGAAGGCCAUUGCUGAGAGAGACAGACUGAUGAAGAAAAUACGGCAGUCCACUCAACUGAAAAAACAGACAGAUAUAUCAAAGUCAAGAAUAACAGGUAUCACAGUAUCUAGUAGUACUGGAGGGUACCCAGCACACAUUCAGAAAACACUAGAGGUCAACGCUAGACGGAAUACAGCAG